AUACAUUUUUAUAUUUUCUGGAGUGAAGUCGAUCACACACAAAAUGGCAAGCAUACUAUAAGUAGAUUAAACUGUCUUUUCAGAGGUGCAGCUCCUGCAAAGAGUAGACAAAGCAGAGAAAAUAUUGCUCAAGAAGAUAUCUCAUGUCAUCAGAGAGGCACCAGUGUUGAUUUCUGAAGGAGACAUGGAGAGAUGGAAAAAAGCUAGCCCAACAGAAACCAAUAAGUAAGGAACUGAAGUUAAAGUCUUAAAUACUACACUGUCUGUAGAUGGAAAAGGGACUUCAUCAUCAGACUGAUUCAGUUCUACAAGUUCAAAUAUUAGAAUUGAGGACUCUGCUGAACAUUGAGAAAAACUACCGUAUUGGGAGAAGAUGGCAAGAGUCUGAUUCAAACUUCCAGUCUACCCUUAAAGAUGUGGACCAUGAGCUCAGAGUCCAACUGCAAGGCUAGAACUGAAUCAAGGGAGAGAGCAGUCGUCCUCCACCAGAGAAGAAUAUAUCCAGCUUUGCUUCAGAUGGGCAGGGCAUUGCCAUUAGACUCUCCAAGCAGGUAGCCAGCUCCAACAAUAGACUGAGACAGCAUUCAAUAGUCACCGCAGAUGAGCUUCUUACCUGCGACAAUUGAUUUUCAGGAAUCAUGUGAUCCCUCUUGGCAUGUCUACUUCUGCUUUGAUAACACUAUUGAAGAAGAUGAUGUUUCGAGGAGUCUGAAGGGAUUGAUGCCUUACAUAUGAAGACUCAUGCAAAAGCUGCUCUCAUUCAACACCUCCAACACCUGGAAAGAAAACUACAUCAAGCCAUUGUGAUGUUUCACCCACAUGUAUCAGACUUUGUUCCUGCAGACAACCCCCACUUGUGUCAGGCCCUCCCCAUGCCAAGCAUACAGACACUGGUAUACAAUGAUAAGAGUGAUAAUGAUGACAAUGUGGAUAACUAGCACUACAGAUUUUUUUUAAAUUUCUAGUCUGAUAUUGUAUUCGGUAAAAAGAAUGAUGUAAAAUGUAUAGUAUAUGUUGCAGCAUAUCAUAGAAACCUUUAUGGUGGUGUAAUAUAAUGUUCGCCUUACUUGUUCAAACAUGAUGCUUUACUAGAUCUGAUUUAUUAUUAAACGUAGGUACUGUUUUUAAGCACACAUAUUCACACUAGUCUGUGUGAGGACAAAAUUGUGUGUUUACCAUUGUGAUGUUACUUACUUACAGUAAUGUACAAAUGUGGUCAAUGUGUGUAAGGUGUUUUGUUUUUGUGAGCUAAGUUGAAAUGACAAAGUAUUGAAUCUUGAAUCAUUUGAAAGAAAUACUGUAAAAGUUUGUAAAAAAUAAAAUGUU